CCUACGGGAGGCUGCAGUGGGGAAUAUUGCACAAUGGGGGAAACCCUGAUGCAGCGACGCCGCGUGAGUGAAGAAGUAUUUCGGUACGUAAAGCUCUAUCAACAGGGAAGAAAAUGACGGUACCUGACUAAGAAGCCCCGGCUAACUACGUGCCAGCAGCCGCGGUAAUACGUAGGGGGCAAGCGUUAUCCGGAUUUACUGGGUGUAAAGGGAGCGUAGACGGCAGCGCAAGUCUGGAGUGAAAUCCCAUGGCUUAACCAUGGAACUGCUUUGGAAACUGUGCAGCUAGAGUGCAGGAGAGGUAAGCGGAAUUCCUAGUGUAGCGGUGAAAUGCGUAGAUAUUAGGAGGAACACCAGUGGCGAAGGCGGCUUACUGGACUGUAACUGACGUUGAGGCUCGAAAGCGUGGGGAGCAAACAGGAUUAGAUACCCUAGUAGUC
rnacentral:rRNA from 1 species